GCGAAAUAGCCCAGUUGGUAGAGCGUUAGACUAUAGAUCUGAAGGUCCCUGGUUCGAUCCCGGGAUUCGGCG
rnacentral:tRNA from 1 species